AUUGAACGCUGGCGGCAGGCCUAACACAUGCAAGUCGAACGAGUGGCGGACGGGUGAGUAAUGUCUGGGAAACUGCCCGAUGGAGGGGGAUAACUACUGGAAACGGUAGCUAAUACCGCAUACCAUCGGAUGUGCCCAGAUGGGAUUAGCUUGUAGGUGAGGUAACGGCGCACCUAGGAGACGAUCCCUAGCUGGGCUGAGAGGAUGACCAGCCAAACUGGAACUGAGACAAGGUCGAGACUCCUCGGAGCGGCAGCAGUGGGGAAUAUUGCAUAAUGGGAGAAAGCCUGAUGCAGCUAUGCGGCGUGUAUGAAGAAGGCCUUCGGAUUGUAAAGUACUUUCAGCGGGGAGGCGGUACCCAAACAAGAAGCACCGGCUAACUCCGUGCCAGCAGCCGCGGUAAUAC
rnacentral:rRNA from 1 species